rnacentral:rRNA from 1 species
CCUACGGGAGGCUGCAGUGAGGAAUAUUGGUCAAUGGACGAGAGUCUGAACCAGCCAAGUAGCGUGAAGGAUGACUGCCCUAUGGGUUGUAAACUUCUUUUAUAUGGGAAUAAAAUGUUCCACGUGUGGGAUUUUGUAUGUACCAUAUGAAUAAGGAUCGGCUAACUCCGUGCCAGCAGCCGCGGUAAUACGGAGGAUCCGAGCGUUAUCCGGAUUUAUUGGGUUUAAAGGGAGCGUAGGUGGAUUGUUAAGUCAGUUGUGAAAGUUUGCGGCUCAACCGUAAAAUUGCAGUUGAAACUGGCAGUCUUGAUUACAGUAGAGGUGGGCGGAAUUCGUGGUGUAGCGGUGAAAUGCUUAGAUAUCACGAAGAACUCCGAUUGCGAAGGCAGUUCACUGGACUGCAACUGACACUGAGGCUCGAAAGUGUGGGUAUCAAACAGGAUUAGAUACCCGAGUAGUC